AUUGAAAAAAAUAGAAAGGCUUUAUUGUUGGUAUAUUAAUCCAUAUCAUUUCUUUUGCUGACAUUUGCUGGCAACGACGCUUUUGCAAUGUGUUAAUAAUUCUGAUCUAUGUCUUCACUUUCGAUUCCAAUUUCUUCACCUCUUCCCGACUAAAUUUCAUCUUCAUUACAGUGACAAGUCACCAUAAAUACAAUGUAAAUGAACGGCAAAAGUACAUGGAAAUAAGAAAGGCCACCAACUUAACAACGCCGAAGAAAAGGAAAACACUUAAAAAUUACGACGAAGGAUUUUAAGAAAAGUUGAUCGAAUUAGAUCGAAUAUCGUGUGUAGAGUCUUUGCUUUGUAAGAUUUUUGCCUUAGCUGUUUAUUUCUGUCUCUGGACAUCCUGACCGCGGCUGUCUGGGCGUGUCUAUUGUAGCUGUGAGGAGAUGCUCCGUCCCUUGAAUAAAAUAAAACAUUUUCUUCUUU